rnacentral:rRNA from 1 species
AGAGUUUGAUCCUGGCUCAGGAUGAACGCUGGCGGCAUGCCUAAUACAUGCAAGUCGAACGAGAGACCUUCGGGUCUCUAGUGGCGAACGGGUGAGUAACACGUAGGGAACCUGCCCGCGCACCGGGAAUACGCUCUGGAAACGGAGAACAAAUCCCGAUGUACAGGAAGGAGGCAUCUUCUUUCUGUGAAACAUCCUUUAGGGGAUGGGGCGCGGAUGGACCUGCGGUGCAUUAGUUGGUUGGCGGGGUAAAGGCCCACCAAGACGAUGAUGCAUAGCCGGCCUGAGAGGGCGGACGGCCACAUUGGGACUGAGACACGGCCCAGACUCCUGCGGGAGGCAGCAGUAGGGGAUUUUCGUCAAUGGGCGCAAGCCUGAACGAGCGAUGCCGCGUGAGUGAAGAAGGCCUUCGGGUCGUAAAGCUCUGUUGCGGGGGAAAAAAGGCAGCAUCAGGAAAUGGGUGCUGACUGAUGGUGCCCCGCCAGAAAGUCACGGCUAACUACGUGCCAGCAGCCGCGGUAAUACGUAGGUGGCGAGCGUUAUCCGGAAUGAUUGGGCGUGAAGGGUGCGCAGGCGGUCCUGCAAGUCUGGAGUGAAACGCAUGAGCUCAACUCAUGCAUGGCUUUGGAAACUGGAGGACUGGAGAGCAGGAGAGGGCGGUGGAACUCCAUGUGUAGCGGUAAAAUGCGUAGAUAUAUGGAAGAACACCAGUGGCGAAGGCGGCCGCCUGGCCUGUUGCUGACGCUGAGGCACGAAAGCGUGGGGGAGCAAAUAGGAUUAGAUACCCUAGUAGUCCACGCCGUAAACGAUGAGGACCAAGUGUUGGGGGUGAAACCUCAGUGCUGAAGUUAACGCAGUGAGUCCUCCGCCUGGGGAGUAUGCACGCAAGUGUGAAACUCAAAGGAAUUGACGGGGGCCCGCACAAGCGGUGGAGUAUGUGGUUUAAUUCGAAGCAACUCGAAGAACCUUACCAGGCCUUGACAUCCCCCUGGACGGCCCGUAACGGGGCCGGCCCUUUCAGGGCAGGGGAGACAGGUGGUGCAUGGUUGUCGUCAGCUCGUGUCGUGAGAUGUUGGGUUAAGUCCCGCAACGAGCGCAACCCCUGCCCGCAGUAGCCAGCACGUUGAGGUGGGCACUCUGCGGGGACUGCCGGGGACAACCCGGAGGAAGGCGGGGACGACGUCAAAUCAUCAUGCCCCUUAUGGCCUGGGCGACACACGUGCUACAAUGGCGCCGACAGAGGGAUGCGAAGCGGCGACGCGGAGCGAACCCCAAAAACGGCGCCCCAGUUCGGAUUGUAGUCUGCAACCCGACUACAUGAAGCCGGAAUCGCUAGUAAUCGCGGAUCAGAACGCCGCGGUGAAUACGUUCCCGGGUCUUGCACACACCGCCCGUCA